rnacentral:rRNA from 1 species
GACGAACGCUGGCGGCGUGCUUAACACAUGCAAGUCGAACGGAAAGGCCCUGCUUUUGUGGUGUGCUCGAGUGGCGAACGGGUGAGUAACACGUGAGUAACCUGCCCUUGACUUUGGGAUAACUUCAGGAAACUGGGGCUACUACCGUAUAGGAGCUCCUGCUGCAUGGUGGGGGUUGGAACGUUUCGGCGGUUGGGGAUGGACGGGCGGCUUAUCAGCUUGUUGGUGGGGUAGUGGCUGACCCAGGCUUUGACGGGUAGCCGGCCUGAGAGGGUGACCGGCGACAUUGGUACUGAGAUACGGCGCAGACGCCAACGGGAGGCAGCAGUGGGGAAUAUUGCACAAUGGGCGGAAGCCUGAGGCAGCAACGCUGCGGUCGGGAUGACGGCUUGCGGGGUGUAAACCGCUUUCGCCUGUUACGAAGCGUGAGUGACGGUAAUGGGUAAAGAAGCACCGGCUAACUACGUG